GAUCAUGGCUCAGGACGAACGCUGGCGGCGUGCCUAACACAUGCAAGUCGAACGGACGAGGGGAGCUUGCUCCCCAAGUUGGUGGCGGACGGGUGAGUAACACGUGAGCAACCUGCCCUUCGGAGGGGGACAACAGCAGGAAACUGCUGCUAAUACCGCAUAACGUAUUCUGGAGGCAUCUCCGGGAUACCAAAGAUUUUAUCGCCGAAGGAUGGGCUCGCGUCUGAUUAGAUAGUUGGUGGGGCAACGGCCCACCAAGUCUGCGAUCAGUAGCCGGACUGAGAGGUUGAACGGCCACAUUGGGACUGAGAUACGGCCCAGACUCCUACGGGAGGCAGCAGUGGGGAAUAUUGGGCAAUGGGGGGCAACCCUGACCCAGCAACGCCGCGUGGAGGAAGAGGGCUUUCGGGUUGUAAACUCCUUUGACGAGGGACGAUGAUGACGGUACCUCGAAAACAAGCCACGGCUAACUACGUGCCAGCAGCCGC
rnacentral:rRNA from 1 species